GAUUCCAUCAUCAGAUCCUGGUUUUCUUAUCAUGGUACUACACCUGGGGUAUUUCCUUUCCAACAAAAAAAGAAUUAUCAUAAUUGUGUUUGCUCGCAAACGAAAAAAAAACCGACUUCAAUUACAUCGACAAGUAAUACAACGUAGAUCGACGAAAAAAAAGUCAAUAAACUACGCGUUAUCAAAGAUUACUCAAAAAGUAGUUAUCAGAUCUCGAUAAAAUUUAUAUGUGACUACAUGAUAAAUAUCAGCUUUCGAUUAAAUUAAAAAUUAUCAAA
rnacentral:misc_RNA from 1 species